rnacentral:rRNA from 1 species
CUGCUACACAUGCAGUCGAACGAUGAUGCCCAGCUUGCUGGGCGGAUUAGUGGCGAACGGGUGAGUAAUACGUGAGUAACCUGCCCUUGACUCUGGGAUAAGCCUGGGAAACUGGGUCUAAUACUGGAUACUACCUCUUACCGCAUGGUGGGUGGUGGAAAGGGUUUUACUGGUUUUGGAUGGGCUCACGGCCUAUCAGCUUGUUGGUGGGGUAAUGGCUCACCAAGGCGACGACGGGUAGCCGGCCUGAGAGGGUGACCGGCCACACUGGGACUGAGACACGGCCCAGACUCCUACGGGAGGCAGCAGUGGGGAAUAUUGCACAAUGGGCGGAAGCCUGAUGCAGCGACGCCGCGUGAGGGAUGACGGCCUUCGGGUUGUAAACCUCUUUCAGUAGGGAAGAAGCGAGAGUGACGGUACCUGCAGAAGAAGCGCCGGCUAACUACGUGCCAGCAGCCGCGGUAAUACGUAGGGCGCAAGCGUUGUCCGGAAUUAUUGGGCGUAAAGAGCUCGUAGGCGGUUUGUCGCGUCUGCUGUGAAAGMCCGGGYUCWACCCCGGGUCUGCASUGGGUACGGGCAGACUAGAGUGCMGUAGGGGAGACKGGAAAUUCCUGGUGUAGCGAUGAAAAUGCGCAGAUAUCAGGAGGAACACCGAUGGCGAAGGCAGGUCUCUGGGCUGUUACUGACGCUGAGGAGCGAAAGCAUGGGGAGCGAACAGGAUUAGAUACCCUGGUAGUCCAUGCCGUAAACGUUGGGCACUAGGUGUGGGGGACAUUCCACGUUUUCCGCGCCGUAGCUAACGCAUUAAGUGCCCCGCCUGGGGAGUACGGCCGCAAGGCUAAAACUCAAAGGAAUUGACGGGGGCCCGCACAAGCGGCGGAGCAUGCGGAUUAAUUCGAUGCAACGCGAAGAACCUUACCAAGGCUUGACAUUCACCGGACCGCCCCAGAGAUGGGGUUUCCCUUCGGGGCUGGUGGACAGGUGGUGCAUGGUUGUCGUCAGCUCGUGUCGUGAGAUGUUGGGUUAAGUCCCGCAACGAGCGCAACCCUCGUUCUAUGUUGCCAGCACGUGAUGGUGGGGACUCAUAGGAGACUGCCGGGGUCAACUCGGAGGAAGGUGGGGAUGACGUCAAAUCAUCAUGCCCCUUAUGUCUUGGGCUUCACGCAUGCUACAAUGGCCGGUACAAAGGGUUGCGAUACUGUGAGGUGGAGCUAAUCCCAAAAAGCCGGUCUCAGUUCGGAUUGAGGUCUGCAACUCGACCUCAUGAAGUCGGAGUCGCUAGUAAUCGCAGAUCAGCAACGCUGCGGUGAAUACGUUCCCGGGCCUUGUACACACCGCCCGUCAAGUCACGAAAGUUGGUAACACCCGAAGCCGGUGGCCUAACCCUUUGUGGGAGGAGCCGUCGAA